AUCAUGUACUGCAGUUGCUUUUUUCUGCCUAUGCUGGUCAAGCCUAGCAUAGGCACCAAAAAGCAAAAACAGUAUGUGAA
rnacentral:pre_miRNA from 1 species